rnacentral:rRNA from 1 species
GGCUCAGGACGAACGCUGGCGGCACGCUUAACACAUGCAAGUCGAACGGAGUUAAAUGGAGCUUGCUUUGAUUAACUUAGUGGCGGACGGGUGAGUAACACGUGAGCAACCUGCCUUGAGAGUGGAAUAGCUUCUGGAAACGGAUGGUAAUACCGCAUGAAAUUAUCUGACCGCAUGAUCGGAUAAUCAAAGAUUUAUCGCUCAAAGAUGGGCUCGCGUCUGAUUAGAUAGUUGGUGGGGUAACGGCCUACCAAGUCGACGAUCAGUAGCCGGACUGAGAGGUUGAACGGCCACAUUGGGACUGAGACACGGCCCAGACUCCUACGGGAGGCAGCAGUGGGGAAUAUUGCACAAUGGGCGGAAGCCUGAUGCAAGCGAUGCCGCGUGGAGGAAGAAGGUUUUCGGAUUGUAAACUCCUGAUCUGAGGGACGAUAAUGACGGUACCUCAGGAGAAAGCUCCGGCUAACUACGUGCCAGCAGCCGC